UGCUCCAUGAGAAUGUUUGAAUGAGUGUGGCAUAGUUGUUAUUGAUUCUUGGAAUUUGCAUUUGGGUUAAAGAACAUUAGUCUAUCGAUGAUUAUAGGUUCAUGAGAUUUAUCCCUGUGUCUGUGAAGAUAUUCCAGCCUAAAAAACAUCUGCUGUAAGCAUUGAGCAGAAGAAGAAGUUUCAAAGAAAGGUUUUGCUGCUUUCCAAGUUUCAACAUGAAAACAAUGUGCAGUUCAUUGGGGCGUGCAUAGAACCAAAGUUGAUGAUAAUAACUGAACUCAUAGAAGGCAAUACUCUUCAGAAGUUUAUGCUGAGUACUCAGUCCAGACUUUUGUUUUAGUUUGGUUCUGUUUUUUAUGAUCCUUGUUCUACGUAUCUUUGAUUGAGUUUGCAUUCAGUUUCAAACUUGAAUAUGAGUUGCAGGUUUUGUAUUUUAGUUUGAGUUGCAAGUUUUGUAUUUUA